rnacentral:siRNA from 1 species
CAGACGCCAAGCGAACGACACAAA